GACGAACGCUGGCGGCGUGCUUAACACAUGCAAGUCGAACGGAAAGGCCCUGCUUUUGUGGGGUGCUCGAGUGGCGAACGGGUGAGUAACACGUGAGUAACCUGCCCUUGACUUUGGGAUAACUUCAGGAAACUGGGGCUAAUACCGGAUAGGAGCUCCUGCUGCAUGGUGGGGGUUGGAAAGUUUCGGCGGUUGGGGAUGGACUCGCGGCUUAUCAGCUUGUUGGUGGGGUAGUGGCUUACCAAGGCUUUGACGGGUAGCCGGCCUGAGAGGGUGACCGGCCACAGUGGGACUGAGAUACGGGCCAGACGCCGACGGGAGGCAGCAGGGGGGAAGAGUGCACAAUGGGCGGAAGCCUGAUGCAGCAACGCCGCGUGCGGGAUGACGGCCGUCGGGUUGGAAACCGCUUUCGCCUGUGACGAAGCGUGAGUGACGGGAAUGGGUAAAGAAGCACCGGCUAACUACGUG
rnacentral:rRNA from 1 species